CUGGGAAGACAUGGCGGAGCUGGUUCGAGCCUUGUUGCAUUUUGGCUGACCGGAGCAGUGGUGUAUGCUGCGCUGGUCUUAACAGGCCAAGUUCUCUCCUGGUCUGUGAGUUUUGCACACAGUGACCCCCUGCCAGGGAUGCUCUUCCCUCUGUUCCCACUCAUUGCAUGGCAGUGCCAACUCAUCUCCUGUAUUUCUUUCUAAAUAGUUCUUCUGAGAGACUUAACCUAUCACAUAAAAAGACAGGAUGAAGUCCAAACUCCCUAGCCUGGCAUUCACGGCCUCCCACAAUCUCACCCCAACCCCUUCCUAGCUUCUUCCCUCUGGCAAUUCUGCGUCCGUCACCCCAAUUCCCGUUGUAGCUACAAGUCUGGCGGCCAUUCAUGCAGCUGUGCCCCCUCUUCCUGGAAUAGGAUCCCCACUCUCCCUUAAGAACGACAGCACGUCCUUAAAGAAGCAUCUCAAUGAGUAGGGAAAGGGUUAACAGUAGGCAGGGAUACAUAAGGUACCCUCCAGAGGUAGAUUGCAGCGGCCGUCCUACUCCUUGCGUCCACCGUGCCCCCAGCCCCUGGCUGCAGAUGCGAGUGGGAGGCUAUAACUGCGGACGGGUUUUGGGGGGGGGGGGGAGAUAAACGAUUCCAGAGAUGCCCAUGCUAGGUGCCAUGAAUAGAGUUUCACAGGCUUUUAUCCAGUUCCUGAUAAGGUCCCAAUAAAAAGUCAGAGACAAAAGUCCUUGGCGGCAACCCAGCUGGGACCCCUCUCCCUCUCAAGAGCUUGGUACUUUCGCUCAAUAAAUUCUAUCGCUUUGCUCAACUCUCUGCUGUCCGGGAGAUUCUUCUACUCUGUGAGACAAGGACCAGGGUCUCUCUCACCCACCUGUAACGUCAAGAUCCCUUCCCAAGCAACCCCAAGGCGGUUUUCAGAUUUCUUCGAAGCUCCAUUAGAAUGCGUAGGCAACUCUCCAAGCAAAUUUUGUGUACCUCGCCGGGUCACGAGCGUCCUAGGAGGAGGAAGGAGAUUUUCAGAAACCAAAUUACCAAAUCAAACACACGGGCGGGGUGGCUGGCCACGCCCCUUCCGGGACACCUAACAGGUUCGUCCAAUCACCGGGAGGAAGGGCAACUCCUGGACCACGCCAGGGAUGCGCUCAGUAGUUCCUUUGGCUCCUCCCUGCGGGGCCACGCCCCCGCCGUACGCCGUCCUGACCGUCCAAUCACCGAGAGGAAGGGCGCACCGCAACCCGCACCGUCACGGGGGAUGGAAGCGUCAGUUUAGCCAAGUUUGUCGAUGUCCCCAAAGAGAAAUCUAAGCCUGUUCAAGAUGUGAACCAAAAGCUACCCAGAACCGGGUAACCUUUCCGAGAUGUGAACCGAUCCCAGUUACGACCAAACCGGCACGGUAGUCAUGUGUAUGCCUGCCUGGCAUAAUAUAUUUAGGAGUAAAAAAAAAAAAAAAAAGCGCACGUUACAACUGUUAUCAAAAUUUUCAUGUUAGGAGCCCCGAAGCUGAGCAAGACAGUAUCUCAGCCCAAUCAACCAAAACCCACCGGGAAUAAACCUGUAGUCCUACAAAAUCAGGUAUGUUGAUUCAUUGUAAUGAGGGAGACUGCACACCACAAACAUCAUGGGGCAUUUAACCAAAUAAAGUUACAGGACUGGAGGGAGAUGUGAAGUUUAGAUGAAUGGCAAUGGAACACUGUUUUGAUAGACUCAAAGCAAAGCAGGACUGUGUAAAGGGAACAAUAUCAGUCCUAGACAGCAAAAUGGACCCAAGGUCCUGUUUCUUUGAGAGUGUUGUCCAGAAACCCCUUUUCUGCGGCUUUGCACCUGGAUGGCAAAUUGAAGCUAUUUCAUUCUUACUGAUAAAACUUCAAACACCGAAGUUUCUGAGAGUCUUUGAUUUUAGAGAACAAAGUUUCUCCGUAAGUAAGAAAGCAGCAAUCAGUCAAAGAAGGUUAUUGGGGCUCUCAGCUGGCUCAGUUGGUUAAGCAUCCGACUUUGCCUCAGGUUGUGA